rnacentral:rRNA from 1 species
GACAGCAGCAGCCGCGGGAAUACAGAGGGUGCGAGCGUUAAUCGGAUUUACUGGGCGUAAAGCGUGCGUAGGCGGCUUUUUAAGUCGGAUGUGAAAUCCCUGAGCUUAACUUAGGAAUUGCAUUCGAUACUGGGAAGCUAGAGUAUGGGAGAGGAUGGUAGAAUUCCAGGUGUAGCGGUGAAAUGCGUAGAGAUCUGGAGGAAUACCGAUGGCGAAGGCAGCCAUCUGGCCUAAUACUGACGCUGAGGUACGAAAGCAUGGGGAGCAAACAGGAUUAGAUACCCCAGUAGUCCCUGUCUCUUAUAA